rnacentral:rRNA from 1 species
GAUGAACGCUGGCGGCGUGCCUAAUACAUGCAAGUCGAGCGAACGGACGAGAAGCUUGCUUCUCUGAUGUUAGCGGCGGACGGGUGAGUAACACGUGGAUAACCUACCUAUAAGACUGGGAUAACUUCGGGAAACCGGAGCUAAUACCGGAUAAUAUUUUGAACCGCAUGGUUCAAAAGUGAAAGACGGUCUUGCUGUCACUUAUAGAUGGAUCCGCGCUGCAUUAGCUAGUUGGUAAGGUAACGGCUUACCAAGGCAACGAUGCAUAGCCGACCUGAGAGGGUGAUCGGCCACACUGGAACUGAGACACGGUCCAGACUCCUACGGGAGGCAGCAGUAGGGAAUCUUCCGCAAUGGGCGAAAGCCUGACGGAGCAACGCCGCGUGAGUGACGAAGGUCUUCGGAUCGUAAAACUCUGUUAUUAGGGAAGAACAUAUAUGUAAGUAACUGUGCACAUCUUGACGGUACCUAAUCAGAAAGCCACGGCUAACUACGUG